UACGGGGGGGGGCAAGCGUUGUUCGGAAUUACUGGGCGUAAAGGGCUCGUAGGUGGCCAACUAAGUCAGACGUGAAAAUCCCCUCGGCUUAACCGGGGGAACUGCGUCUGAUACUGGAUGGCUUGAGUUUGGGAGAGGGAUGCGGAAUUCCAGGUGUAGCGGUGAAAUGCGUAGAUAUCUGGAGGAACACCGGUGGCGAAGGCGGCAUCCUGGACCAACACUGACACUGAGGAGCGAAAGCCAGGGGGAGCAAAACGGGG
rnacentral:rRNA from 1 species